UUCCCACAAUUGGGAACUUGCUGCUGAUGUUAGCGGCGGACGGGUGAGUACACGUGGGUAACCUGCCUGUAAGACUGGGAUAACUCCGGGAAACCGGGGCUAUACCGGAUGGUUGUUUGAACCGCAUGGUUCAAACAUAAAAGGUGGCUUCGGCUACCACUUACAGAUGGACCCGCGGCGCAUUAGCUAGUUGGUGAGGUAACGGCUCACCAAGGCAACGAUGCGUAGCCGACCUGAGAGGGUGAUCGGCCACACUGGGACUGAGACACGGCCCAGACUCCUACGGGAGGCAGCAGUAGGGAAUCUUCCGCAAUGGACGAAAGUCUGACGGAGCAACGCCGCGUGAGUGAUGAAGGUUUUCGGAUCGUAAAGCUCUGUUGUUAGGGAAGAACAAGUACCGUUCGAAUAGGGCGGUACCUUGACGGUACCUAACCAGAAAGCCACGGCUAACUACGUGCCAGCAGCCGCGGUAAUACGUAGGUGGCAAGCGUUGUCCGGAAUUAUUGGGCGUAAAGGGCUCGCAGGCGGUUUCUUAAGUCUGAUGUGAAAGCCCCCGGCUCAACCGGGGAGGGUCAUUGGAAACUGGGGAACUUGAGUGCAGAAGAGGAGAGUGGAAUUCCACGUGUAGCGGUGAAAUGCGUAGAGAUGUGGAGGAACACCAGUGGCGAAGGCGACUCUCUGGUCUGUAACUGACGCUGAGGAGCGAAAGCGUGGGGAGCGAACAGGAUUAGAUACCCUGGUAGUCCACGCCGUAAACGAUGAGUGCUAAGUGUUAGGGGGUUUCCGCCCCUUAGUGCUGCAGCUAACGCAUUAAGCACUCCGCCUGGGGGAGUACGGUCGCAAGACUGAAACUCAAAGGAAUUGACGGGGGCCCGCACAAGCGGUGGAGCAUGUGGUUUAAUUCGAAGCAACGCGAAGAACCUUACCAGGUCUUGACAUCCUCUGACAAUCCUAGAGAUAGGACGUCCCCUUCGGGGGCAGAGUGACAGGUGGUGCAUGGUUGUCGUCAGCUCGUGUCGUGAGAUGUUGGGUUAAGUCCCGCAACGAGCGCAACCCUUGAUCUUAGUUGCCAGCAUUCAGUUGGGCACUCUAAGGUGACUGCCGGUGACAAACCGGAGGAAGGUGGGGAUGACGUCAAAUCAUCAUGCCCCUUAUGACCUGGGCUACACACGUGCUACAAUGGACAGAACAAAGGGCAGCGAAACCGCGAGGUUAAGCCAAUCCCACAAAUCUGUUCUCUUUUCGGAUCGCAGUCUGCAACUCGACUGCCUGAAGCUGGAAUCGCUAGAAACGCGGCGCAGCAGGUCUACCGGGGCCCG
rnacentral:rRNA from 1 species